CAGUUGUUUGUCUACUCUGCAGCUACAUGUUUUUGCUUGUAACAGGCUGAUAUCUACUCUAUAACUGUCCAGAUGCACUCAGGAAAUAUCUGCAGAAGCCUCCAGCUGCUGGAGAAGUUACAUCUGAUCUCCCAUCUACACCACUCUCUGAAGCAGAUUUACCUGCAGGUGAAGCAACAACAGACACAACAGACACUUCUACUACUCUACAGCCUGCAGACACCAUCAACUGGAACAGAUCCUGAAGUAUGUGAGUCCAUCAAGGCAGCAGCUAUAGAUCCUGCUGACUGGCAGCCCUGUCUGAUAUGGUGAGGACAGAGAUAGUCAGCAGAGGCCAUAUCAGCUAAAAUAAGACUCUACAUUUACAAAAUGAGAGGAUGGGAGAAGUUCCCAUCACCACCACUUCUACAGAAAAUAAGUGAAUGGAGAGAAAAUCAAGAGAAGUUGGUUGGGUAUAUUCCAAGAAAAA